CAGAAGCAUAGACUCUGAAAUCUGAAAUAGAUUCACAGAAACAAAAAGUUUUUUUCUCCUAAUGACUAUAUUAUACUUUGCGGAAGUGGUUAUAUAGCUUGAAUGUUUUGUGAAUUUGUCACAUUACAACAGACAGAAAAACAGUUAAGUGGUCCAUGGUAGCUCUGGAGGAGCUUCAGAGAUUCCACAGCUCAGGUGUGAGAAUCUGAUGACAGUUAAUUGCAUAAAAAAUGUGCAGAUUUUCCAGUUAACCACGUAGGAAUCAGAAUGCCUUGUUGUUAUUGUACCGAAGCUCAACAAAAUUAACUUACUUUAUUAGCCAUUAUUUUUAACAUUAACGUGUGAGAAACUCAUUUCUUUCCGUUUGACUUAAAAUCAAUACUAUGUAGGGCUGAUCUGCUGAUUAUCUUUUGGAUUAAGUGAUUAAUAAAUGGAUAGCAAAAGUUAUUUAAUAAGAGAUUGUCUGAACCAGGUGAUGCUAAAACUGUCACUUAAUGAGUUCUGUGUUGAACAUAUUUACAUCUUGAAUGUAAAAUGUAAAUAUUGUUUGUACUAUUUUUUUUUUGUUCUUUCAGCAAUUGACCUAUUUUGAGUCUGUAAGCUCCAGUUAAUGAUUAAUUGAUUUCAUUAGUUGACCAUUGUUUCAACAAUCCUUUCAUCACAAUUAAUCAUUUCAGCACUAAUUGAGUGAGUUUUAAUUUUAAAUGCACGCCACACUUUUCAGAAAGAAAGGAUUCAUGUUGGUUUAGCACAUAAAUCCUAUUACACUAAGUUCUGGUCGUAAUACAAUAAAACGUAGAAAGAUCCAUGGACAUUCUGUAAUGUAGGAGUUUCCUCUGUGAACUUAUGAAAUAUGCUGCUUUGACAACAGAAAAUGUGGGAGCUAUCAUUAGAGCGGCGGUGUGAACUCUGACCCCGACACGUGUAAAUGCAUUGCAGAGGCACUUUUUAGGAGAACAUGAUUAGGCUUCAAGGAAAGAUGGGGGAGUUUCUCUGUAGCUGGAUGAUGCUUUCCUGACAGGUAGAAAGUUCAGAUCUUUAUUAUGCAUGACACUGGCCAUAAAACAGUUUUCUAAAGAAAGAAACCUUAGAAAGUAAAGGGCACUAAAGAAAUGAUGCCCCAUGUCUUUGCUAACAGCAGGGAAUUUCCCGUCCGAGCUGGUGGAGUCACACGCCCUGCCACCGAGUCGCAGCGUCUCUCUCAACUCACAGACCCUCAAGUGUUGAAAAUAGCUGAGCCAUUCGCUGGCUCGAUUUACUUUUGGAAAAAAUGAAAUCCAGACAGACCCUCUGGAAGGUAGACGGGGAACGGACAGAGGCAGGUGGCAGGCAGAGCUUAAUUAGUUUGGCUGGUUACUUUCAAACCUGACAAUAAAAAAAGUGUGUUUACCACCUACCUGACCAGAAACACUCGACGCCCUUCGCCUUUGGCAAAGGCGUGCUUGCCCUUGAAUGAUCGUGUCGUAAAUGUCACACGUGCACUUUAUGAGUCUCCGUCUGAUUUUUUUUUUUUUUUUUUUUCUGUGGAGGCGGCUGCCAAUGCUCCACGGGCUGCCAGUGUUUGUUGACACAUAAGCUGGUUUCCCGGUAAAAUCUGGGGAGGUUUGUUUUUGUCUUCGACACACACGUUUUACUGUUAUUACCUGGAGGCCUCUUAUCUAGCUUCAGUUCAAGGAAGCAGUAUAAAAUUUCCACACUUCAAUAGAACCACUCCUUGUAUCGUCACUUACCGGACACACUCUCUAACUGGGUUUGUUUUUGUUCCUCACACUGUUUCCAUGCUCAGCUAAUAGCCAGACACUGUUAGAACCUUUGCAGUCUUGUCAGGGCUUGUUCAGAGGUUAAAGAUUCACUGGACGUUAGUCGCUUAAGCUUUAUUUCUUAAUAAGCUAUUUAUAUAUUUGUGAUUCUUGCAAGCACACAAACUGUCCUUUGGGAUGUUAAAUGAGGAAUUCAUACUUAAAAAGUUAAAACAAAGUAAAAAGGAAAACAUAAGAGGAAGCACACAUAGAUGAGCUGAGCCGUUUCUAUCUCCAGAGACGUAA